AGGGAGAGCCUGAGAGAGGAGAGAAUCCCAAGCAGGCUGCACACUGUCGCACAGAGCCAAGCUCCAUCCAACUCAGGAACCCAGAGUUGAGAAUUGGAAAAGAACUGGAGAUGAGAGUUUCCUUAGUGAAGAGAGGAGGAACCAAGCGACAGGAGAGCAGUGAAUCCCUUUGAUACUGAGAGAAAACAAUAUCAAGUGAGCUAAGAAGAGAGCAUGGAAAGGGAUGGAAAUAAAUGUCAUCUGGAUAAAACC